rnacentral:rRNA from 1 species
GACGAACGCUGGCGGCGUGCUUAACACAUGCAAGUCGAACGGAAAGGCCCUGCUUUUGUGGGGUGCUCGAGUGGCGAACGGGUGAGUAACACGUGAGUAACCUGCCCUUGACUUUGGGAUAACUUCAGGAAACUGGGGCUAAUACCGGAUAGGAGCUCCUGCUGCAUGGUGGGGGUUGGAAAGUUUCGGCGGUUGGGGAUGGACUCGCGGCUUACCAGCUUGUUGGUGGGGUAGUGGCUUACCAAGGCUUUGACGGGUAGCCGGCCUGAGAGGGUGGCCGGCCACAUUGGGACUGAGAUACGGCCCAGACUCCUACGGGAGGCAGCAGUGGGGAAUAUUGCACAAUGGGCGGAAGCCUGAUGCAGCAACGCCGCGUGCGGGAUGACGGCCUUCGGGUUGUAAACCGCUUUCGCCUGUGACGAAGCGUGAGUGACGGUAAUGGGUAAAGAAGCACCGGCUAACUACGUG